AGAGUUUGAUCCUGGCUCAGAUUGAACGCUGGCGGAAUGCUUUACACAUGCAAGUCGAGCGGCAGCGCGGGGCAACCUGGCGGCGAGCGGCGAACGGGUGAGUAAUGCAUCGGAACAUGUCCAUUCGUGGGGGAUAGCCCGGCGAAAGCCGGAUUAAUACCGCAUAAGCCCUUAGGGGGAAAGCCGGGGACCGCAAGGCCUGGCGCGAAUGGGUUGGCCGAUGCCCGAUUAGCUAGUUGGUGAGGUAAAGGCUUACCAAGGCGAUGAUCGGUAGCUGGUCUGAGAGGAUGAUCAGCCACACUGGGACUGAGACACGGCCCAGACUCCUACGGGAGGCAGCAGUGGGGAAUUUUGGACAAUGGGGGCAACCCUGAUCCAGCCAUUCCGCGUGAGUGAAGAAGGCCUUCGGGUUGUAAA
rnacentral:rRNA from 1 species